AGGGGAAUUAUGGACAAUGGGGGAAACCCUGAUCCAGCCAUCCCGCGUGUGCGAUGAAGGCCUUCGGGUUGUAAUGCACUUUUGGCAGGAAAGAAACGUCAUGGGUUAAUACCCCGUGAAACUGACGGUACCUGCAGAAUAAGCACCGGCUAACUACGUGCCAGCAGCCGCGGUAAUACGUAGGGUGCAAGCGUUAAUCGGAAUUACUGGGCGUAAAGCGUGCGCAGGCGGUUCGGAAAGAAAGAUGUGAAAUCCCAGAGCUCAACUUUGGAACUGCAUUUUUAACUACCGGACUAGAGUGUGUCAGAGGGAGGUGGAAUUCCGCGUGUAGCAGUGAAAUGCGUAAAUAUGCGGAGGAACACCGAUGGCGAAGGCAGCCUCCUGGGAUAACACUGACGCUCAUGCACGAAAGCGUGGGGAGCAAACAGG
rnacentral:rRNA from 1 species